AGCGGGGUGGGGCAGUCUGGAGUGCCCGCCGGGCUCAUAACCCGGAGGCCGUUGGUUCAAAUCCAUCCCCCGCUA
rnacentral:tRNA from 1 species